GCUGGUUUAGCUCAGCAGGUAGAGCAGCUGCCUUGUAAGUAGCGGGUCGCGGGUUCGACUCCUGCAACCAGCACCA
rnacentral:tRNA from 1 species